rnacentral:rRNA from 1 species
UACGAAGGGGGCUAGCGUUGCUCGGAAUCACUGGGCGUAAAGCGCACGUAGGCGGAUCGUUAAGUCAGGGGUGAAAUCCUGGAGCUCAACUCCAGAACUGCCUUUGAUACUGGCGAUCUUGAGUUCGGGAGAGGUGAGUGGAACUGCGAGUGUAGAGGUGAAAUUCGUAGAUAUUCGCAAGAACACCAGUGGCGAAGGCGGCUCACUGGCCCGAUACUGACGCUGAGGUGCGAAAGCGUGGGGAGCAA